UACGUAGGGAGCAAGCGUUGUUCGGAUUUACUGGGCGUAAAGGGCGCGUAGGCGGCAAUUCAAGUCAGCUGUGAAAUCUCCGGGCUUAACUCGGAACGGUCAGCUGAUACUGCUUUGCUAGAGUGCGGAAGGGGCAAUCGGAAUUCUCGGUGUAGCGGUGAAAUGCGUAGAUAUCGAGAGGAACACCUGAGGUGAAGACGGGUUGCUGGGCCGAUACUGACGCUGAGGUGCGAAAGCGUGGGGAGCAAACAGG
rnacentral:rRNA from 1 species